UUCUCCGGCCCUUACGCCCACUUGCUUCGAGCAGGUAUUGUUGCUAUCGUUGCAGCGAAAGAAAGUUUCUUCUUUCAUGAGCCACAGGACUUGCUGGAUAUUUUACUAUCGGAAUCUUCGUCACUUUUCUGCUUCAAUCAUUUAACGCUUGUAGCAAUGCAUCAUUGCGAGUUUUAAGGUAUCAGCUUUGUUUCUUUAACUUCCUUUCUACUUUUAUCUACUAAUUCUUAUGCUUCUUCUUCCUCCUCUUACACGGUAUUUCCGAAAACGUCAUUCAUGAGGCGCGGCAUCGUACUACGCACAGAGGUUACGCAUCGCUCGCUUAUGAAUGGUUUUACCGUAUUGAGAGCUGCGAACCCUUUAUAGUUAUCAUCUGAUCUGUGUGGAAGAAAUUGUUAGUAAUUAUUAUUCAUUUUUAAACUGCAUGAAUCCGCUACUAUUUGGUUUACUUUAGUAACAUUUGUAGGUUAUGGGGACAACUGUUUUUUGGAGACAGAUAUGAGAAACGUUUAGUGUUUUGCAACGGCGUAUUCUUAUUGAUACUGAUCUUUUAAGCGAUUCAAGAAUUGCAGCUUUGGCUGCGUGACGAUUGUGCUGUAAACGAGGACACGAGAUAAGGUGAGAAAUAAGUCGUGGGCUUUGGGACUUGCUAACGAAAUGUGUCUCGUUAACGGGAAUCCUUUCACGUUGUAUUUUUGAUGUUUUUCGGGUUAUCAAAUUUUACCGCUUUUUAAAAAAUCUCAAAUAUGGCAGUCUGACGGGUUCAGGUUCUGCAGAUCGAAAUUUCUUAAUGAAAUCUUUUUGGUAAGUGGAAAUCGGUCCUGGUCAUUACGAAAUCACGUUGAACCGGGCCCUUACGCCUACACGAGCGAUGCCGACGUUACUGCAGCCAAAGAAAGUUCAACUUCUUUCUCAGGCGAAGGGCGUGCAUAACAUAUCAAGUCAAAACCCGAUUUCUAAUAGCUUCCUGCUCUAAAUCACGCCCUUGGGCUUACUCGAAGUUUGGAGUUUACGUGGGACAUAGAAAACAGGUAAAGGCUACGUACAGUUUUAUGUGUUCGUACGUCUCAGCCAGGUUGACGCGUAGCGAUUCAAAUAAUCAAUUAUAAUAUAUAUAGCUUUUCUAUACCACAUAUGUCAUAAUGAAAAUUUUUUUAAUAAUAAACGUAUA